UUAAGCGACUAAGCGUACACGGUGGAUGCCCUGGCAGUCAGAGGCGAUGAAGGACGUGCUAAUCUGCGAUAAGCGUCGGUAAGGUGAUAUGAACCGUUAUAACCGGCGAUUUCCGAAUGGGGAAACCCAGUGUGAUUCGUCACACUAUCAUUAACUGAAUCCAUAGGUUAAUGAGGCGAACCGGGGGAACUGAAACAUCUAAGUACCCCGAGGAAAAGAAAUCAACCGAGAUUCCCCCAGUAGCGGCGAGCGAACGGGGAGCAGCCCAGAGCCUGAAUCAGUGUGUGUGUUAGUGGAAGCGUCUGGAAAGGCGCGCGAUACAGGGUGACAGCCCCGUACACAAAAAUGCACAUACUGUGAGCUCGAUGAGUAGGGCGGGACACGUGGUAUCCUGUCUGAAUAUGGGGGGACCAUCCUCCAAGGCUAAAUACUCCUGACUGACCGAUAGUGAACCAGUACCGUGAGGGAAAGGCGAAAAGAACCCCGGCGAGGGGAGUGAAAAAGAACCUGAAACCGUGUACGUACAAGCAGUGGGAGCACAGAGCAAUCUGUGUGACUGCGUACCUUUUGUAUAAUGGGUCAGCGACUUAUAUUCUGUAGCAAGGUUAACCGAAUAGGGGAGCCGAAGGGAAACCGAGUCUUAACUGGGCGUUAAGUUGCAGGGUAUAGACCCGAAACCCGGUGAUCUAGCCAUGGGCAGGUUGAAGGUUGGGUAACACUAACUGGAGGACCGAACCGACUAAUGUUGAAAAAUUAGCGGAUGACUUGUGGCUGGGGGUGAAAGGCCAAUCAAACCGGGAGAUAGCUGGUUCUCCCCGAAAGCUAUUUAGGUAGCGCCUCGUGAAUUCAUCUCCGGGGGUAGAGCACUGUUUCGGCAAGGGGGUCAUCCCGACUUACCAACCCGAUGCAAACUGCGAAUACCGGAGAAUGUUAUCACGGGAGACACACGGCGGGUGCUAACGUCCGUCGUGAAGAGGGAAACAACCCAGACCGCCAGCUAAGGUCCCAAAGUCAUGGUUAAGUGGGAAACGAUGUGGGAAGGCCCAGACAGCCAGGAUGUUGGCUUAGAAGCAGCCAUCAUUUAAAGAAAGCGUAAUAGCUCACUGGUCGAGUCGGCCUGCGCGGAAGAUGUAACGGGGCUAAACCAUGCACCGAAGCUGCGGCAGCGACGCUUAUGCGUUGUUGGGUAGGGGAGCGUUCUGUAAGCCUGUGAAGGUGUACUGUGAGGUAUGCUGGAGGUAUCAGAAGUGCGAAUGCUGACAUAAGUAACGAUAAAGCGGGUGAAAAGCCCGCUCGCCGGAAGACCAAGGGUUCCUGUCCAACGUUAAUCGGGGCAGGGUGAGUCGACCCCUAAGGCGAGGCCGAAAGGCGUAGUCGAUGGGAAACAGGUUAAUAUUCCUGUACUUGGUGUUACUGCGAAGGGGGGACGGAGAAGGCUAUGUUGGCCGGGCGACGGUUGUCCCGGUUUAAGCGUGUAGGCUGGUUUUCCAGGCAAAUCCGGAAAAUCAAGGCUGAGGCGUGAUGACGAGGCACUACGGUGCUGAAGCAACAAAUGCCCUGCUUCCAGGAAAAGCCUCUAAGCAUCAGGUAACAUCAAAUCGUACCCCAAACCGACACAGGUGGUCAGGUAGAGAAUACCAAGGCGCUUGAGAGAACUCGGGUGAAGGAACUAGGCAAAAUGGUGCCGUAACUUCGGGAGAAGGCACGCUGAUAUGUAGGUGAAGCGACUUGCUCGUGGAGCUGAAAUCAGUCGAAGAUACCAGCUGGCUGCAACUGUUUAUUAAAAACACAGCACUGUGCAAACACGAAAGUGGACGUAUACGGUGUGACGCCUGCCCGGUGCCGGAAGGUUAAUUGAUGGGGUUAGCGCAAGCGAAGCUCUUGAUCGAAGCCCCGGUAAACGGCGGCCGUAACUAUAACGGUCCUAAGGUAGCGAAAUUCCUUGUCGGGUAAGUUCCGACCUGCACGAAUGGCGUAAUGAUGGCCAGGCUGUCUCCACCCGAGACUCAGUGAAAUUGAACUCGCUGUGAAGAUGCAGUGUACCCGCGGCAAGACGGAAAGACCCCGUGAACCUUUACUAUAGCUUGACACUGAACAUUGAGCCUUGAUGUGUAGGAUAGGUGGGAGGCUUUGAAGUGUGGACGCCAGUCUGCAUGGAGCCGACCUUGAAAUACCACCCUUUAAUGUUUGAUGUUCUAACGUGGACCCGUAAUCCGGGUUGCGGACAGUGUCUGGUGGGUAGUUUGACUGGGGCGGUCUCCUCCUAAAGAGUAACGGAGGAGCACGAAGGUUGGCUAAUCCUGGUCGGACAUCAGGAGGUUAGUGCAAUGGCAUAAGCCAGCUUGACUGCGAGCGUGACGGCGCGAGCAGGUGCGAAAGCAGGUCAUAGUGAUCCGGUGGUUCUGAAUGGAAGGGCCAUCGCUCAACGGAUAAAAGGUACUCCGGGGAUAACAGGCUGAUACCGCCCAAGAGUUCAUAUCGACGGCGGUGUUUGGCACCUCGAUGUCGGCUCAUCACAUCCUGGGGCUGAAGUAGGUCCCAAGGGUAUGGCUGUUCGCCAUUUAAAGUGGUACGCGAGCUGGGUUUAGAACGUCGUGAGACAGUUCGGUCCCUAUCUGCCGUGGGCGCUGGAGAAUUGAGGGGGGCUGCUCCUAGUACGAGAGGACCGGAGUGGACGCAUCACUGGUGUUCGGGUUGUCAUGCCAAUGGCACUGCCCGGUAGCUAAAUGCGGAAGAGAUAAGUGCUGAAAGCAUCUAAGCACGAAACUUGCCCCGAGAUGAGUUCUCCCUGACUCCUUGAGAGUCCUGAAGGAACGUUGAAGACGACGACGUUGAUAGGCCGGGUGUGUAAGCGCAGCGAUGCGUUGAGCUAACCGGUACUAAUGAACCGUGAGGCUUAACCUU
rnacentral:rRNA from 1 species